UCCGAUAUGGUGUAGUGGCUAACAUUAUCGCCUCUCAGGUAGGACGCGAUAGCCCGGGGUUCGAUUCCCCGUGUCGGAA